rnacentral:rRNA from 1 species
CGCUCUUAGCGAUGGAUCACUCGGCUCGUGGAUCGAUGAAGAAUGCGGCCAAUCGCGAUGACUUGUGCGAAUAGGUUUGUUCCUAUUGGCACGUCCGCUUGAGGGUCU